UGAUUACACUUUCUCCGGAAUCUCUGUAUUCCUGUAAAGACUUUUGAACCCUUGUGCAGCUGAUGACUGUAAACCCCCAUUC